CCAACAGGGAUUGCCUCAGUAACGGCGAGUGAAGCGGCAACAGCUCAAAUUUGAAAUCUGGCCUCACGGUCCGAGUUGUAAUUUGCAGAGGAUGUCUCGGGCGCGAUACCGGUCUAAGUUCCUUGGAACAGGACGUCACAGAGGGUGAGAAUCCCGUACGUGACCGGUGGUUAACCCCAUGUGAGGCUCCUUCGACGAGUCGAGUUGUUUGGGAAUGCAGCUCUAAAUGGGUGGUAAAUUUCAUCUAAAGCUAAAUAUUGGCCAGAGACCGAUAGCGCACAAGUAGAGUGAUCGAAAGAUGAAAAGCACUUUGGAAAGAGAGUUAAAAAGUACGUGAAAUUGUUGAAAGGGAAGCGCUUGCAACCAGACUUGCCCGCGGGUGAUCAACCGUCCUUCGGGGCGGUGCACUCGCCCGUGAUCAGGCCAGUAUCGGUUUCAGCAGCCGGACAAAGACUUCGGGAACGUAGCUCCUCUCGGGGAGUGUUAUAGCCCGUCGUGUAAUACGGUUAGCUGGGACCGAGGACCGCGCUUCGGCUAGGAUACUGGCGUAAUGGUUGUCAGCGACCCGUCUUGAAACACGGACCAAGGAGUCUACCAUCUAUGCGAGUGUUUGGGUGUUAAACCCAUGCGCGUAAUGAAAGUGAACGGAGGUGGGAACCCUUCGGGGGGCACCAUCGACCGAUCCUGAUGUCUUCGGAUGGAUUUGAGUACGAGCAUAG
rnacentral:rRNA from 1 species